rnacentral:rRNA from 1 species
AUUGAACUCUGGCGGCAGGCCUAACACAUGCAAGUCGAGCGAGCGGCGGACGGGUGAGUAAUGUAUGGGGAUCUGCCCGAUAGAGGGGGAUCACUACUGGCAACGGUGGCUAAUACCGCAUACUAUCGGAUGAACCCAUAUUGGAUUAGCUAGUAGGUGGGGUAAAGGCUCACCUAGGCGACGAUCUCUAGCUGGUCUGAGAGGAGGACCAGCCACAAUGGGAAUGAGAAAAGGCCCAGACUCCUACGGGAGGGAGCAGUGGGGAAUAAUGCACAAUGGGCGCAAGCCUGAUGCAGCCAUGCCGGGGGUAUGAAGAAGGCCUUAGGGUUGUAAAGUACUGUCAGCGGGGAGGAGGUAACCGCAGAAGAAACAACGGCUAACUCCGGGCCAGCAGCCGCGGUAAUAC